AGAAUCCUCUUGGCCGAAUAUCUAAGGUUUCCAGGGUAAAGCUGAUCUGCCCUGGGUAAGUCGGGGCCUAAGGCGAGGUCGAAAGACGUAGUCGAUGGACAACAGGUUGAAAUUCCUGUACUAUCCUGUAACAGAACUGUGGGGACGCAGAGAGAGAGCGUGAGCCGGGAAUGGAAAGACCGGUGCAAGCGAGGUAGGAGUCUGGUAGGCAAAUCCGCCAGGCAAUCCGAAGACGUGACGCGGACCGAAAACAAGUAGGGAAGCACGUGAGCUGACUGCCAAGAAAAGCCGCUAUUGUUUGCAGGAUACCCGUACCGUAAACCGACACAGGUGGAUGAGGAGAGAAUCCUAAGGCCGACGGGAGAAGCAUUGUUAAGGAACUCGGCAAAAUGACUCCGUAACUUCGGGAGAAGGAGUGCCUCGAGAGAGGCCGCAGAGAAUUGGCCCAAGCAACUGUUUAGCAAAAACACAGGUCUAUGCGAAACCGAAAGGUGAGGUAUAUGGGCUGACGCCUGCCCGGUGCUGGAAGGUUAAGGGGAGAGGUUAGCGCAAGCGAAGCUUUGAACUUAAGCCCCAGUAAACGGCGGCCGUAACUAUAACGGUCCUAAGGUAGCGAAAUUCCUUGUCGGGUAAGUUCCGACCCGCACGAAAGGCGUAAUGAUUUGGGCACUGUCUCGACAAUGCACCCGGUGAAAUUGAAGUACCAGUGAAGAUGCUGGUUACCCGCGCCAGGACGGAAAGACCCCAUGGAGCUUUACUCCAGCUUGAUACUGGGAUCCGGUAUUGCAUGUACAGGAUAGGUGGGAGGCUAGGAAGCGGGGACGCCAGUCGCCGCGGAGCCGCUGUUGGGAUACCACCCUUGCAGUGCUGGGUUUCUAACCAGCAGCCGUGAACCGGCUGGGGGACAAUGUCAGGCGGGGAGUUUGACUGGGGCGGUCGCCUCCGAAAGGGUAUCGGAGGCGCUCAAAGGUCCUCUCAGAAUGGUCGGAAACCAUUCGCAGAGCGCAAAGGCAGAAGAGGGCUUGACUGCGACACCGACGGGUGGAGCAGGUACGAAAGUAGGACUUAGUGAUCCGGUGGUAUAAAGUGGGAUUGCCAUCGCUCAACGGAUAAAAGCUACCCUGGGGAUAACAGGCUUAUCACUCCCAAGAGUUCACAUCGACGGAGUGGUUUGGCACCUCGAUGUCGGCUCAUCGCAUCC
rnacentral:rRNA from 1 species